UUUAUUUUGAACAUCAACUUUUUACUUAAACAUAUAAAUUUAUUUUCUAAUCAGUGUAACACGCUGAUCUGGAAUUGUAUUUGCAAGAACAUAAUACUGGGAGAUUUCUUUGACUUGACAAGAACAAAUUUAACAGUGUAUAUUGAAUAUGGGUCAGGUCUUCUUUCAUACUUUUCCCUUUUUUUUACAAAAUCUUAUGAAGCCAAGAAUCUUUUCUAAUAUAAGGUGUAUCCAAGAGUAUUGAGAUACUUUACUGUAAAAGGGCAACACAAAUUAGGGAUGGAUCUUCUUUCAAACAGCAUCCACCAAACUUUAUAAGUUUUUUUUAUUAGUUUCCCUCUUUAUUUCCUCUAGAACCUCAGUCUAGAUUUUUUCCUUAUUUUAAAAAGUUAUCUACUUUGUUUACCAUUUGUAAGUACCAG
rnacentral:lncRNA from 1 species